rnacentral:rRNA from 2 species
AUUGCACAAUGGGCGAAAGCCUGAUGCAGCUAUGCCGCGUGUAUGAAGAAGGCCUUAGGGUUGUAAAGUACUUUCAGCAGGGAGGCGUUACCUGCAGAAGAAGCACCGGCUAACUCCGUGCCAGCAGCCGCGGUAAUACGGAGGGUGCGAGCGUUAAUCAGAAUUACUGGGCGUAAAGAGCACGUAGGUGGUUUUUUAAGUCAGAUGUGAAAUCCCUGGGCUCAACCUAGGAACUGCAUUUGAAACUGAAAUACUAGAGUAUCGUAGAGGGAGGUAGAAUUCUAGGUGUAGCGGUGAAAUGCGUAGAUAUCUGGAGGAAUACCCGUGGCGAAAGCGGCCUCCUAAACGAAACUGACACUGAGGUGCGAAAGCGUGGGGAGCA